rnacentral:lncRNA from 1 species
ACCUGGGUGAUGAGAGAAAAUAGUGGCAACACCAAUGCUCUGUACCAGGAGCUGUGGAGGAGACUAUCGAGCCAAGAUGGAGUGGCAUUCCAGCUCCUGUCUCUCUGCCCUCGUCCAGACGGCCAACAGUAUGGAUUAGAAUGGAUAGCCACCGAGAUCUGUUCCAACUCUGAAAUUCUUUGAUGCUACUAUCAAAACACAGUAGAUUUUUCAUCUAUUAGGAAAAAAGGUAAAACAUUUUAUGCAUGAUAUGGUUUUGGAUUUUUUCUUGGCUUCCAGAAAAUGAUACUUG